rnacentral:rRNA from 1 species
AUGCCUCUAGCAUGAAGUCAGACAAGUGAACCCGCUGAAUUUAA